rnacentral:rRNA from 1 species
GCAAAUCCCCAAAAACUUAGUCUCNGUUCAGAUUGCAGGCUGAAACUACGCCUGCAUGAAGUCGGAAUUGCUAGUAAUCGCAGAUCAGCAUGCUGCGGUGAAUACGUUCCCGGGCCUUGUACACACCGCCCGUCACACCAUGGGAGUCGGUAACACCCGAAGCCUGUAGUCUAACCGCAAGGAGGACGCAGUCGAAGGUGGGAUUGAUGACUGGGGUGAAGUCGUAACAAGGUAUC